GUUAAUGUAGCUUAAACUAAAGCAAGGCACUGAAAAUGCCAAGAUGAGUGUACGCACUCCAUGAACA
rnacentral:tRNA from 1 species